rnacentral:rRNA from 1 species
UACGUAGGGUGCGAGCGUUGUCCGGAAUUAUUGGGCGUAAAGAGCUCGUAGGCGGUCUGUCGCGUCGGUCGUGAAAACUUGGGGCUUAACCCUGAGCUUGCGGUCGAUACGGGCAUGACUGGAGUUCGGCAGGGGAGACUGGAAUUCCUGGUGUAGCGGUGAAAUGCGCAGAUAUCAGGAGGAACACCGGUGGCGAAGGCGGGUCUCUGGUCCAGUACUGACACUCAAGUGCGAAAGCGUGGGGAGCAAACAGG